rnacentral:rRNA from 1 species
UACGUAGGCAGCAAGCGUUGUUCGGAGUUACUGGGCGUAAAGGGGGCGUAGGCGGCCUUAUAAGUAUGGUGUGAAAUCUCCCGGCUUAACUGGGAGGGUGCGCUAUAGACUGUGGGGCUAGAGUGUGGGAGAGGAAAGUGGAAUUCCUGGUGUAGCGGUGAAAUGCGUAGAUAUCAGGAGGAACACCGGUGGUGUAAACGGCUUUCUGGACCAUAACUGACGCUGAGGCACGAAAGCGUGGGGAGCAAACAGG